rnacentral:rRNA from 1 species
UACGGAGGGGACUAGCGUUGUUCGGAAUUACUGGGCGUAAAGCGCACGUAGGCGGAUUUGUAAGUCAGGGGUGAAAUCCCGGGGCUCAACCUCGGAACUGCCUUUGAUACUGCAAAUCUCGAGUCCGGAAGAGGUGAGUGGAAUUCCUAGUGUAGAGGUGAAAGUGCGUAGAUAUCAGUCGGAACACCGGUGGCGAAGGCGGCUUCUUGGGCCGUUCCUGACGCUGAGGCGCGAAAGCUGGGGGAGCGAACG